rnacentral:lncRNA from 1 species
UCUCUGCCCAUUCACUUGAGCUUUCUUCCAGGUUUCCCAGGCCCAGAGCUUUGUCAGAGUCCUAUGGAAGAGGAGGCUGGAGGAUUCUGGCCCACUCCUGGGGGACUGGGAAGAAUUGCUGCUACUGGGCUUUGGGGAAAAGCCCUUGACUCCACAGAUGGAUCUUGCUAAGUUCUUCAGGCUGGCCUUGAAUUUGUGACUGCCCUGAUUGAGCCUCUUCAGUAGCUGGGGUUACAGGUGUGUACCACUAUGCUCGGCUUUAUCUUCUUUUUAAAACUUAAUAUAUAAUGACAUUUUUUCAACAUUAUGUGCUCUUUCUCUGUGUGUGUGUGUGUGUGUGUGUGUGUGUGUGUGUGUGUGUGUGUGUUUUCAGUACUGGGAAUCAAACCCAAGGCCUCAUAGGUGCUAGACAUGCUCUACCACUGAGCUACACCCUCAGCCCAACAUUAAAUAUUCUUUUCUAUUUUUGUUUUUGGUACUGAGGAUUGAACUCGGGACCUUGUGUUUCGAGGCAGGCGCUGGAACCACUGAGCUGAAUCCCCGGCCCAACGUUAAGUAUUCUUUAAGAAUGUGAUUUAAGGUUUUGGGCGCGCGCACCGGCCCCCCACACGGUCCCACCCGCGCGCCUGCCGUCUUGGUUCCCGUGGGCGCGCCCCGGUUUCCGCAUCUGGCUCAGGACGCUUCCGUUGGUAGUGGGGACGGUCCCCACCGCGAGGGCCGUCCAGAGUGUGCUUGCGAGUGGGCUACCUCGACUUCCGAUCCCCCUCACUUCCCGCCUCUGGCUGGAAAAAGCGGACACUCCUCUGUGGAAGAUGCCCAGGCCACCAUGGAGCUGUACAAGUUGGUUGAAGUUGAGUGGGAACAUCACCUGGCCCAGAAUCCCCCGAAAAACUAGCAGGUGUGGGGCAGCAGACACAGCACCCAGGAGAAUAGGCAGUGGCCUGGGGAGCUGGCAUUGUUGGGAGAGAGGCUUUACCCCACUCAAUAGCCCUUGCAAUCUCACCUUGCAAAAAAACAAACAAACAAAAAAAACGAAUGUGAUUUAAAAUGUCACAUACUAUAACAUUACGAUGUUCCAUAAUUUAUUUAACCCUUGCUUUAAUUUUAGGUUGUUUUAAAUUUCUGACUAUUAAAUAAUGCAGAAUAGGGCUCGGGGAUUUAGCUCAGUGGUUCCGGCGCCUGCCUCGCAAGUGCAAGGUCCCAAGUUCGAUCCCCAGCACAAAAAAAAUAAAUAAUGCAGAAUAAGACCUUAAAUAU